rnacentral:rRNA from 1 species
UACGUAGGGUGCAAGCGUUGUCCGGAAUUAUUGGGCGUAAAGAGCUCGUAGGCGGUUUGUUGCGUCGGCUGUGAAAACCUGCGGCUUAACUGUGGGCUUGCAGUCGAUACGGGCAGACUUGAGUUCGGCAGGGGAGACUGGAAUUCCUGGUGUAGCGGUGAAAUGCGUAGAUAUCUGGAGGAACACCGGUGGCGAAGGCGGCAUCCUGGACCGGCAUUGACGCUGAGGCGCGAAAGCUAGGGGAGCAAACGGG